ACACGGUACUCGCUCGUCCAAUAUAGUGAGGACAAAAUGCAGUUCGCAAAAUAGCGAGCGUGCUAUUCUGAACAGGCGAGUCCGACCAACACAGAACCGUCACAACCUCCAAUCUCUUCUUCUCUCCUCUUUUUCUCACAUGGAGAAGCCUAAACACCAAAGCCAGCGCUUGCACCUCGAAGGCCAUUACCUUUUCCCUUGCUGAU
rnacentral:lncRNA from 1 species